GACGAACGCUGGCGGCGUGCCUAAUACAUGCAAGUUGAGCGCUGAAGGUUGGUACUUGUGCCGACUGGAUGAGCAGCGAACGGGUGAGUAACGCGUGGGGAAUCUGCCUUUGAGCGGGGGACAACAUUUGGAAACGAAUGCUAAUACCGCAUAAAAACUUUAAACACAAGUUUUAAGUUUGAAAGAUGCAAUUGCAUCACUCAAAGAUGAUCCCGCGUUGUAUUAGCUAGUUGGUGAGGUAAAGGCUCACCAAGGCGAUGAUACAUAGCCGACCUGAGAGGGGGAUCGGCCACAUUGGGACUGAGACACGGCCCAAACUCCUACGGGAGGCAGCAGUAGGGAAUCUUCGGCAAUGGACGAAAGUCUGACCGAGCAACGCCGCGUGAGGGAAGAAGGUUUUCGGAUCGUAAAACUCUGUUGGUAGAGAAGAACGUUGGUGAGAGUGGAAAGCUCAUCAAGUGACGGUAACUACCCAGAAAGGGACGGCUAACUACGUG
rnacentral:rRNA from 1 species